AGAGUAAUUCAGGUGUUCGGGCACAGGGGUCAGGUCUCAACAUUUGACAUUGUUGUUGAUUUAAAUAUAUCAGGUCUAUUUUUAUGUCAAAUGUUGAGACCUGACCCCUGUGCCAGGAAAGUCCGAACUCCUGCAGGCAGGAUGCCGGGUAACACCCGGAAGAGGCGACUCUUGGAAAGUGCCGCAGAAAUUAUACCGCCAGGCCUUUUCGUUGAAAGGGCAGGGUAAGGGUGAAAUCGUGGGGUAAGAGCCCACGCGUCAGGCUGGCAACAUCCUGAUGAGGUAAACCCCAUCCGGAGCAAGACUGAAUAGAGGGGCGGGUUGCCUGUCCUAUAUGCCCCCGGGUAAGUCGCAUGAAGGGCUCAGUAAUGGGCUCUCAAGAUUAAUGAACACCUAAACAGAAUUCGGCUUAUGAAUUACUCUCCCU
rnacentral:RNase_P_RNA from 1 species